rnacentral:lncRNA from 1 species
GCUGGUGCUUUGGGGAGCGGUGCCCCAAGCUGCCAAGAGGGGCUUGCCCUUUUGUUCCUCCCCGCAGGCGAUGACGGGACCUCUGCAGACUGAAGAGGAAGAGGAGGCUGUGGUGUUCCACCAUCACUACAUCCCCUACCCUGGUCCCUCUCCCAUCCUGGCGUGGCCAGUCCCGAUGCGGGAUCGGGGACUGGGGGCUGUGCGGUACCUGGGGACAGGCUCGUUAGCUGGGGAUGGGGAGCUGUGAGUAAUUUCACUGAAAUUUCACUGAAUUUCUAGAGUUGGAAGGGACCAUAGAGAUCAUCUAAUCCAACUCCCCUGCUGAAGCAGGAUUGCCCAGAGCUUGUCAGAGCAUGUUACUCAGGAGCAUCCAGGCAGGUUUUGAAAAUCUCCAAAGAAGGGGACUCCACACCCUCCCUGGGCAGCCUCUUCCAGGGCUCUGCCACCCUCACCGUGAAGAAGUUUCUCCUCAUAUUUGAGUGGAACCUCUUAUGUCCCAACUUGUUGCCCCUCGUCCUCUCAGUGGGAACCACUGAAAAGAGUCUGGCUCCCUCCUCCUUCAACCCUCCCUUGAGAUACUUGUAGGCAUUGAUAAGGUCUCCCCUCAGCCUUCUCUUCUCCAGACUAAAGAGUCCCAGCUCUCUCAGUCUCUCCUCAUAAGGGAGAUGCUCCAAUCCUUGAAUCAUCUUUGUAGCCCUACGCUGGACUCUUUCUAGUAGUUCCCUGUCCCUCUUGAACUGGGGAGCCCAGAACUGGAGGGUGCUGUGGGGCUGUGUGAUUGUCCCUGUGGUCCCUGGUGUACCAGGACCUUCCAGCCCAAGCUGGGACACAAGGGGCAAUGCCAGGCUGGCACUUAUUCCUCCCCUUGCUCCUCUCCAGCCCUGCGGUGCCACCACCUCCACCCCCCAGCGCCACGGGGACCGUUGGAGCCAACAUCCCACCAGCAUCAGAGUACUACGACGUGGUGCAGGAGAGGCUGUGAGCUCCACGUUUCCCGAGGUGGUAUCUCCUCCACGUCCCAGCGCUUGACCCCAGAAGAUCUUCCAGGUGCUGGGGUGCUCCAUGAUACCCCUACUUUUGGG